UACGUAGGGGGCAAGCGUUGUCCGGAUUUAUUGGGCGUAAAGAGCGUGUAGGCGGCCAUACAGGUCCGUUGUGAAAACUCGAGGCUCAACCUCGAGACGUCGAUGGAAACCGUAUGGCUAGAGUCCGGAAGAGGAGAGUGGAAUUCCUGGUGUAGCGGUGAAAUGCGCAGAUAUCAGGAAGAACACCCGUGGCGAAGGCGGGUCUCUGGGCAGUAACUGACGCUGAGGAGCGAAAGCGUGGGGAGCGAACAGG
rnacentral:rRNA from 1 species